CUCUUUAUGAUUAUAAUUUUAAGUUGUCUCUGCCCAAUGAAUUAUUUUAAAUGGCUGCAGUAUAUUGACUGUACAAAGGUAGCAUAAUAAAUUGCUUUUUAAAUGAAAGCUUGAAUGAAUGAGGUGAUAAAAUAUAAACUUUAUUUAAAUAAUAAAUUGAAUUUUUUUUUAAAGUUAAAAAUCUUUAAUUUUUUUAAGGGACGAGAAGACCCUAUAGAAUUUUAUAUAAAUUUAUAUUUUAUUUAUAAUAAUAUUUAUAUUAUAUUUUUUUGGGAGGAAAUUUAAAUUUUUAAACUUUUUUUAAUUAAUAACAUAAAUAAAUGAUUUAAUUUAAAGAUUUUAAAAUUAUAAAUAUUAAAUUAAAUUACCUUAGGGAUAACAGCGUA
rnacentral:rRNA from 1 species